rnacentral:rRNA from 1 species
GACGAACGCUGGCGGCGUGCCUAAUACAUGCAAGUCGAACGCAGUUGCGAACGGGUGAGUAACGUGUCGGUAACCGCCCCAUAGCGGGGGAUAACUAUUGGAAACGAGAGCCAAAACCGCAUACUGUGAGAUGGACCUGAGUUGUAUUAGGUAGUUGGAGAGGGAAAGGGUAACAAAGGCGACGAUACAUAGCCGACCUGAGAGGGUGGACGGCCACAAUGGGACUGAGGCACGGGCCAGGCUCCUGCCGGAAGCAAGAGUUGGGAAUCAUCGGCAAUGGGGGGAAGUCUGACCGAGGAACGGCGCGUGAGUGGAGGAGGUUUUCUGGUCGUAAAGGUCUGUUGUUAGGGGAGCGGUAACUAACCAGAAAGGGACGGCUAACUACGUGCCAGCAGCCGCGGUAAUUC